rnacentral:rRNA from 1 species
UACAGAGGGGGCAAGCGUUGUUCGGAAUUACUGGGCGUAAAGGGCGCGUAGGCGGCCGCCUAAGUCAGACGUGAAAUCCCUCGGCUCAACCGGGGAACUGCGUCUGAUACUGGGUGGCUUGAAUCCGGGAGAGGGAUGCGGAAUUCCAGGUGUAGCGGUGAAAUGCGUAGAGAUCGGGAGGAAGGCCGGUGGCGAAGGCGGCGCUCUGGAACGUUACUGACGCUGAGACACGAAAGCGUGGGGAGCAAACAGG